CAACACAUCUGUGGCUGAGUGGAGC
rnacentral:piRNA from 1 species